rnacentral:rRNA from 1 species
UACGAAGGUGGCAAGCGUUACUCGGAAUUACUAGGCGUAAAGGGCAGGUAGGUGGUUUGGUAAGUCUAUUGUGAAAGCUCCUGGCUUAACUGGGAGAGGUCAAUGGAUACUGCCGGACUUGAGUAUAGGAGAGGUUACUGGAAUUCCCGGUGUAGCGGUGAAAUGCGCAGAGAUCGGGAGGAACACCAAUGGCGAAAGCAGGUAACUGGACUAUUACUGACGCUGAGGCGCGAAAGCCAGGGGAGCAAACGGG